rnacentral:rRNA from 1 species
AGACAGCAGUCGCCGCGGGAAUACGGAGGGUGCAAGCGUUAAUCGGAAUUACUGGGCGUAAAGCGCACGCAGGCGGUCUGACAAGUCAGAUGUGAAAUCCCCGGGCUUAACCUGGGAACUGCAUUUGAAACUGUCAGGCUGGAGUCUUGUAGAGGGGGGUGGAAUUCCAGGUGUAGCGGUGAAAUGCGUAGAGAUCUGGAGGAAUACCGGUGGCGAAGGCGGCCCCCUGGACAAAGACUGACGCUCAGGUGCGAAAGCGUGGGGAGCAAACAGGAUUAGAUACCCGCGUAGUCCCUGUCUCUUAUAC